UUUUCUUUUCCACAACUGUGAUGUCUGGUGUGUUGUGUUCCAGAACUUUGUCAGUCUGGAUUUGGAAGUCCCACAGUAUCUUUGCAUUCUCAUUUUCCAAUACUUUUGCAGGUUUGUGAUCCCACCAGUUCUUUGCUGCUGGGAGGUGGUACUUGAGGCAUAAGUUCCAAUGAAUCAUUUGGGCCACAUAGUUGUGCCUCUGUAGUCUGUCUGUGCGAUUUCUUACAGCAGCUGAGGAUAUGAUCCAUGGUUUCGUCAGCUUCCUUGCACAGUCUGCAUUUUGGGUCAUCAGCUGAUUUUUUGAUCUUGGCCUUAAUUGCAUUUGUUCUGAUGGCUUGCUCCUGGGCUGCAAGGAUCAGGCCUUCUGUCUCCUUCUUCAGUGUCCCAAUUGUGAGCCAGAGCCAGGUCUUCUCCUUAUCAGCUUUUCCUUCAAUUUUGUCAAGGAACUUUCCAUGCAAUGUUUUGUUGUGCCAGCUGUCAGCUCUAGUUUGUAGUGCGGUUUUCUUGUACUGAUUCUUUGUCUGCUGUGUUUAGAGGAGUUUCUGAUUUUUGACUUCAAUCAAAGCAGGUUCUUCACUUUGCUUUACAUAUUCUUCCAGGGCAUGUUCUUCAAGCUGGGGAUUGUGGGUUCAUGUCCCACCUGGGUCGCCGCCCCCCCUCCCCGCAGGUGCUGCCUUGACGUGGUGGGGGGGCUUAACCACUCCAUUGAUGACUGAGGGCUGUGCUGGCGGUAGUGUAACUACCGGCAGGUCCAACAAAGCCAGAGAAGCCUCAGUUAAGGAGUGGAACUAAAUGCACCUAACCCAUUAGCAUUAUGGAGAAUCAAACCAAAAUAAAGUCUAUACUGGCUCGGUCGUCGCCCAGGAUAAAAAGGACCGUGGUGGAUGCUGCUGAUUCUGGACAUCCAUCAACAAGUGAGCUACGGAAUCAAAAUACAAAUGAACAGUCACAGAAGCGGCAAAAAUAUACAAUGCCAGAAAACCGCACAAUUAUUAUUAUUAUUAUUAUUAUUAUUAUUAUUACUAUUAUUAUUAUUUAUACCCCACUUUAUCUCCUUAAAGGGGAAUUUCCUCCAUGAUAAUAACUCUUUUAGGAGUAAAUUUCCUUUCCUAGGGAUAGAUUUCCUCUCACUUCCUGUUGUCUCACCUCCUGUUUGGAACUAUCCGUUUUUUGGAAUUCGGGGGACUGCCUGUAUAUAAAUCAGUGGUUCCCAACCUUGACGAGGGACUACUCUCCAACAUUAGUACCAAAAGGAUUACAAAUCAGUUUUUGGUCAACUUUAGAUUUAGUUGGGUUACUUGGGGUGCUGAUUCAGAACAUUGCAUUGGACAGACCACAUCAGCUCUAAUUUCUGAUACAGAAUAUGUGCCAUCCAGUAGUCGCCAUCUGCUCGCCCACAGAAAAAAAUAUUUAAUCAUCUAGAGCCGAUGUGGUCUAUCCAACGCAAUUUUCUGAAUCAGCACCCCCAAAUAACCCCAGGAAUAGGCCUAAAAACGAAGACACCAAGGUGUCCCCACUUCCAGGUGCCACACGGAACAGCUCUUCUGGAGGGGGGGGGGGAGGAAGGAGGAGGAGCAGCAGCAGUCAGGAGGCUGUAAGAGGGUUUCACAAGACCAAUCACUCUAAUUGCAAUGGUGUACUAACCGAGAGGCCACAAACCAUAUUUUAGUUAUUGGGGACUAUUGGUGGUCCACAGACCACAGGCUGGGAACCACUGAUAUAGACAGAGGUGACAUUCACUGGUGUGGAGACGGGGUGCAGUUUAUCACGCAUUUCAAUGCAGUGUAAUCCUGGGAGUGUAGUGCUACAUAGUCUUCAGCCCUCUUUGCCAAAGAUUACUGGUGCCACGUCAAACUACAGCUCCCAGGAUUUCAUAGCACUGAGGGCCCUUCCAGACAGGCCCUACAUCCCAGGAUCUGAUUCCAUAUUUUCUGCUUUAAACUGGAUUAUAUGAGGCCCCUUCCACACAGCUUAAUAAAAUCCCACAUUAUCUGCUUUGAAUGGAAUAUGUGGCAGUGUGGACUCAGAUAACCCAGUUCAAAGCAGAUAUUAUGGGAUUUUUCUGCCUUGAUAUUCUGGGUUAUAUGGCUGUGUGGAAGGACCCUGAGUCCUCACUGCCAGAUAAUCUGCGAUAAACAGAAAACCUGGACUCAGAUCCUGGAAUAUAGGGCCUUUCUGGAAAGGCCCUGAGUCAAGGCAGUUAAAGUGAUGUCAAACGACACUGUAGAUGCUCCCACCACAAAAGACUUUGCAAGCAAAAGAGGGAGGAGAACACUUUUCAAAUAAAAUCGGAAGUAUACAAAAAAGAUUGAAACAUGAUUUUUUCAUCUUUCUGUAAGCUUUGUUUCAUUUUAAAAUACAUGUUAUGGUUUUUUGCUUUGAUCUGGCUGUGAUCCAGCUAUCUAACUGCAAAGUGGUCCCUGGUUUCCUACCCUCUGCUAAUUUCAAAACUAAAGGAAAGAGGGAGAAAAGAGUAGAAGAGAGAUCAAUAAAAAUGUGGGAAGAUAAAAGUGACUUCCAGGGUGCAUCUCUACCGUAGAAUUAAUGCAGGUUGACACACAUUAAUUGCCAUGGCUCCACUGUGUAGCUCUAUGGGAGCUGUAGCUUUAGCUUUAGCCUUCUCUGCCAAAGGGUACCUGUGCCUCACCUGUUGGAACAACCUGAUUCCUCACAUUUUUACUAAUUUACACAAUACAAAAAAUGCUGAUGAGAAUGAAAACGUGAGAAGAUGCAGGGUGUGUACUGGGGAGGGUUAUUUUUUUUCCCCUUCAGGCCUCUCUGCCCUAAGUUUAUGACAGAGCUGGAAUAAUUGCACCUUGAUUAUCGAACCCAGAGAAAGAUUUCCCUGCUGAAUUUCUCUUCCUCAAGCAGCUGGUAAAACACAGAUGAGAGAGAGACCAUUAGUCCUACAUUUCCUGGGUGUUUGUGGAUGUCGGUAGUCUCCUGUUUGAUAACUGCAAUGAUGCAAUGAUGACAAAUAAACACUGUAUUGGAUAAUAAAAGGCCACAACUUUAUUUGGCUAUCUUGCAGCUUAUCAGGGUUGCCCCCCCCCCUCCCCCGAUGAGUCAAGGAUCCCCACUCACUGGCCUGCUUGCCACUGGCAAUAAUACAUUUUAUCCCAGAAUUGGCAUAGACCAUUUCAAAUCUUGGGGAUAAUUCAUUACAUUUAUGUAUCGCUUGUAAUUUAUUAAUUUUCUAAAUGAUUUAAAAUGGUCUAUAAAUGUUACUUAAUGUUUGUUACUUUAAUAAUUAACUACUAAUACACAGUGACUCAUGCUUGAGUUAUAUCCUAAUUUGAAAUGCAGUCUACAUGCGAUUUCCUUUGAAAAUUGUUCAGAAACUUGAACGGAUCCAAAGACCUAUAGCUAGAUUGCUAACUGGAGCUGGCUUUUUUAUGUGUGUGUGUCAGGAGCGAUUUGAGAAACUGCAAGUUGCUUCUGUUGUGAGAGAAUUGGCCGUCUGCAGGGAUGUUGUCCAAGGGGCGCUUGGAUGUUUUACCAUCCUGUGGUAGGCUUCUCUCAUGUCCCUGCAUGAGAAGCUGGAGCUGACAAAUGGAAGCUCACCCCGCUCCCAAGAUUCGAGCUGCCAACCUGGGGCUGGAUAAAGGGAGCGAAUGAUCCAAAUGUUGGAACAACUCCCCUGGAUGCAAAUACAUUGCUGGACACAAUUUAAUGUACAGGGUCAGAUUGAUACAGUCCUUCAUGGCCCAGAUUCAAGUUAUUUGAAGGACCAUAUUUUCCUUUACAAAUCGGACCCUACAUGGAGUUCUGCUGGGGAAGUCCUUCUUUCUGGUCUCAUCAUCCUCACAAGUAUAUCUCGUGGCAAUGAAGAAAAGGACCUUCUCAGUCACUGUCUCAUGACCCUGGACCCCCUUUUCCAAAUAAAUUAAACAACAUCCCCCCCAUGCAUUUUCUUUUCACAGACAAGUAAAGACUUUUCUGCUUAGGCAUUUGAUGAAUGACUCAAUGAGUGCAUCUACAGUAUAGAAUUAAUGCAGUUUGACACUUCUUCAACGGACAUGGAAUCAAGGGAGCUGUAGUUUUAUAAGGCCUUUAGCCUCCUCUGCCAAAGAGUGCUGGUGCCUCACCAAACUACAACUCCCAUGAUUCUAUCAAGUGAUUUCAACACUGCAAGAAUGAUUAAACCCUGUGGGGGUUCAGGGGCCUGGCAUGUCAAGCUCCCAAAAGACCGAAUAAGACACAGAUGGGAUGAAGGCAAAGAACAAAGGUAUUUAUUUCCCUUGGCCAAGUGAAGAUGCCAACAGAACCUGUGUUCCGAAAACUGACAAUUGCAAACAUACAUAUUUAUUUAUAGCAUUUUGACAGCUAUUCAAAACCAAGAGAGUUUGUUGCAUCAGUCAUUAAUUGAUCCAGGUCAAUGCCAGCUAGGAUCCACUCUUUGAUAGGUGGAGGAGCACCGUCCAUUACUUGCUGAUUGCUUCUGGAUGUGGUGGGAAAUUUCAUAAACUGUAAUUGCCUGGUUUGAAGGUUAGCGGCUAUUCUUGGUUUGCCAAGGGAAGGGGUGUGGGAGGAAAGUAAUUUGGUUGGUCUGUAGCAAAUGGGAUCUGAUGGCUCUGUUCCUGCUUGGCUGGAACAUGACAAUGGGUUUCAUUUGGUCACACAAUGGGUGUCCUGGGUGUUGGCACAGUUUCAAUGCAGAUCCCGGGGGGUGGGGGGGCUGAUCUGGCAGAUAAGGAAACAUAUAUUUAUUUAGUGUUAAUUGGCUUAUUUAUGGUUAUAUUUAUUGAUUUUAGAGUUGUAAUGUUUUCUUUUAUAUGGUUGUGAGGCAUUAAAUCUUUGCCAUUUACUAUGUUGUUAAACUGCUUUGAGUCCCCCUAGGGGUGAGAAAAAGUGAUAUAUACAUGAAAUAAAUAUAUUACUUACUUAGGCGAUCCCUCGUAGGCCGAGGAUGAUGGUCCUCCAGUUAUAGGGUCUUGGGGGGGGGUGUACGCAGAUGGCUGAAGAGACCUAUUCUUGAUCUGCAUGUUCUCCCGCAAUGAGGACAUCGGUUUCCAGGUGGAAGGUGGUCCUGGUCAGGGUUGGCUUGACGCUCCUUCCUCUUGGCACGUUUCUCCUUUAAGCCCUCCAUUCGUGCCUCUUCGAACUCCGUGGCACUGCUGGUCACAGCUGACCUCCAAUUAGAGCGCUCGAGGGCCAGGGCUUCCCAGUUCUCAGUGUCUAUGCCACAGUUUUUAAGGUUGGCUUUAAGCCCAUCUUUAAAUCUCUUUUCCUGCCCACCAACAUUACGUUUCCUGUUAUUGAGUUCGGAGUAGAGCAACUGCUUUGGGAGACGGUGAUCAGGCAUUCAGACAACGUGGCCAGUCCAGCGGAGUUGAUGGCGUAGGAGCAAUGCUUCAAUGCUGGUGGUCUUUGCUUCUUCCAGCACGCUGACAUUUGUCCGCCUGUCUUCCCAAGAGAUUUGCAGGAUUUUUCUGAGGCAACGCUGAUGGAAACGCUCCAGGAUUUUGGUGUGAUGUCUGUAUACCGUCCACGUUUUGCAGGAGUAGAGCAGGGUUGGGAGGACAAUGGCUUUAUAAACAAGCACCUUGGUUUCUCUACAGAUGUCCCGGACAUCAUACACUCUGCUUCAUUCGGAAAAAUGCUGCACUCGCAGAGCUCAGGCGGUGUUAUAUUUCAGUGUGAAUGUUGACUUUUGUGGAGAGGUGGCUGCCAAGGUAGCAGAAAUGGUCAACGUUUUCUAAUGUUACACCAUUAAGCUGUAAUCCUGGCAUUGCAGAGGGAUUCGCUGGUGCUUGUUGGAAGAGCAUUUUGGUUUCCUCGAUGUUCAAUGAGAGGCCAAGCUUCUCGUAUGCUUCUGCAUUAACAUUCCCAUGAAUGAAAUCUGGAAAAAGGUGGCUCUUCCUAAACCCAUUAUUGUGUCUCCCAGGGCAUUGAGGGCUUUUCCCAUACUAAAUGUUGAGACACGCUCUUAGGUGUAGAGUGCAUAAAUAGUACUUUGUGUCACUCUUGGCGAGUUCAUUGGGAAGUUGCCGGAAAUUGGGAAAAGGUCAUCACAGAUUCUCUUGCAGAGCCUUUAUGGAGAUGCAGGUUUUUAAAUCCUGGUUUUUGACAACAAUUCCAUAGCAUUGAGCCAUGACAGUUAAAGUGGUAUCAAACUGUAUUCAUUCUACAGGGGAGAUGAACAAUGAGGCCCCAUCACUUCUAUAUAAAAUCCAGAUUAUGUGCUUUGAACUGGAUUAUAUUUGUCUACACUGGUAUAUAAUCCAGUUCAAAGAAGACAAUCUGGAUUUUAUAUGGAAGUGUAGAUGCGGCCUGAGAUAUGCUUGCAAAUAUUUCUGGUAGUGAUAACUGUGAGUAACUGAAACUGUGGAUAGUAAUCUUGCAGAUAAAGGGGUUGUACUUUAUAGGACCCUUACUAUAUGGUCUGUUCACAAUUUCCUAAAGGAAUGUAGAUAAUAGAAGAAUAGGCAUCAAUGAUUAAUUAUAUAAGUCUCAAUUAAUAUUUUGCUCUCUUGUAAAGGUAUAUUGAAUAAAGGGCAUGCAAUGUAGUUAAUGUUGGAUAUAACGUUUCUCUCGGGAAAGCUAAUGAAAUUCAUAUUUGAUGGAACUGCUGUCAAAUGGAUACAAAAUGGGAUUAAAAUUAAACAGUGUAAUUAUGCAUUGUGCAAUAACUAGUUGAGAGGAGAUGUCAAAUAGACUUCUGAAAGGAAUACCAAGGAUCGCUGAUUCAUUAGCAACUUGGAAGUUGAGAUGGAGAGUCAUGCCAAUUCAAUAUUAAAGUAAUAAAAAGCUAGCAAAGGUUACAGAUCUCAUGGAGAGUAGGGACUGAAUUCGUUAUGUUCUGAACAAAUGGAAGAAAUUCAAUAUAUAAGAGUCUUAUUAGAAUGAGAUUUAAUCAAGAUCAUGUAAAUUGCUUCUUGUAAGAUACUAAAAUGGGCAAAUGCAGGACUACGACAUGCUUGAUAAACUCUAAAAUUUGAUAGAGAAAAUGUGCGACAAUUGUAGUAACGUAAUUUGGUUUCAUUUAUUAUAUGAGGUCUGACAAAGAAUAAAAGAUUUGAAAAGUUCCCACAUGAGAAGGCAUAGUUCUGACUCUUCAACAAAAAUUCAAGAAGAUCAUAUUUGUUCCUUCACCAAUUCUUGGAAACUAUAGCUCCUGCCCCUUGGUAGAUUGGUUUUCUCAACUCAUACAGCACACAGUACUUCUGCCAUUAAGAAAAUACGAAAUUUUGGAAGCGGCAUCUUGGAAACGCCAUCAAAGUGCUAGAAGAAAGUGCACUUUCUCUAAUUCACAUUCCAUAGAUCUGUUAAGAUACACGAUACUAGGAAACCCAGCAGCUCUGGAUCAGCUGCAGUGCUUGAGCUACAACACCUCAUAACUAUAUAUCCAUGAGACUUGAUGAGUUCUCGUUUUCUCUCUCCUUCUCCUGUGGUUUUUCCUCAUACACACAUGGGUUUUUUUAAUUGGGAAAAGAAAAGCUGUACAUGUUUCUGCAACAAAAUUGGAGAAAAGACAAGUUACAAUUGAAUCCAAGGAAGGAUGUGAGGAUUUGCAAAAAGGCACCAUGAUAUAAUGGGUUAAACCGGAAAGGAAUGUGUCGAGAGCUGAUUGACUGAGCCAGCCAGGAGCCAGAAUUCCGAUUGGCUGAUGUCUCUAGCUUGCUGCUGAGACAAACGGUUUUAACUACCAUUUUCACCUCGGAGAGUGAAGAGGGUGCUGACUGGAAAUGGUCAGGAAGGAAAUGGCUGCCAACUCUCCAAAGUUUAUUUAUAAGGCAAAUGAGGCAUAUUUAAAGACUGUUUAAAGGGACAGUUUAUUUCCUCUGUUCUCUGUGUGAAUUCAGAAAGACUGCUGUAUACAGUAGAGUCUCACUUAUCCAACACUCGCUUAUCCAACGUUCUGGAUUAUCCAACGCAUUUUUGUAGUCAAUGUUUUCAAUAUAACGUGAUAUUUUGGGGCUAAUUUUGUAAAUACAGUAAUUACAACAUAACAUUACUGCAUAUUGAACUACUUUUUCUGUCAAAUUUGUUGUAUAACAUGAUGUUUUGGUGCUUAAUUUGUAAAAUCAUAACCUAUAUUGAUGUUUAAUAAGCUUUUUCUUAAUCUCUCCUUAUUAUCCAACAUAUUCGCUUAUCCAACGGUCUGCCGGCCCGUUUAUGUUGGAUAAGUGAGACUCUACUGUAUAUGGUUGCCCUGUUAUUUUGAACUGAAGUAAAGAUACUGUUACUUGUUACACAAGCCUGAGUGACACUUUAUUAUAUUGCAGGGUAUAUCUUGGUUUAGAAACUGUCGUAAAGCUUCUAUUUAUUUAUUUCUACAACUUAUAACAGUUAAGUCGCUUCUGACAUGAUUUUUAAAACUGCUCCAUAUAUGUCAAUUUUGCAGUUUCAGCAAUGAAUUACCAAAAAAAGAGAGAAGUAAAAUACUGUAUAACUAAAAUAUUUUAGAUGAAUACAAAACAUCCAGUCCAGGAAUAGUGAGAAAAUGGGAGGGAAGAGUGGGAGAGAAGGUGAACCCCACUUCACCUCGCUACCAGCAUGCAGGAACAGAAGCAGAACAUCACAAAAAUGUGGAUGACAGGAAUGUUGUAAGAUUGGGAGCUAUUGGCAGGUUUUGCUUGUUGUUGGCAGGGGCAGAUUAAUUGUGUGGAGGAGGCACAUUAGUGGGAUGCACAAGGCAUCAUGUGAUAAGGAACAUCACCAAAAGUGAUGGCCCAGCUUCAAUAAUGGUUUUCCUGCCUCAUGUGAUAAAGUCCCCAAGAUGGAAAAGUACUGCAAGAGCCAUACUGUGGAG